GACGAACGCUGGCGGCGCGCCUAACACAUGCAAGUCGAACGGAGCUUAGAGAGCUUGCUUUUUAAGCUUAGUGGCGAACGGGUGAGUAACGCGUGAGUAACCUGCCCUAGAGUGGGGGACAACAGUUGGAAACGACUGCUAAUACCGCAUAAGCCCACGGUACCGCAUGGUACUGAGGGAAAAGGAUUUAUUCGCUUUAGGAUGGACUCGCGUCCAAUUAGCUAGUUGGUGAGGUAACGGCCCACCAAGGCGACGAUUGGUAGCCGGACUGAGAGGUUGAACGGCCACAUUGGGACUGAGACACGGCCCAGACUCCUACGGGAGGCAGCAGUGGGGGAUAUUGCACAAUGGGGGAAACCCUGAUGCAGCGACGCCGCGUGGAGGAAGAAGGUUUUCGGAUUGUAAA
rnacentral:rRNA from 1 species